rnacentral:lncRNA from 1 species
AUAUAUAUAUAUAUAUAUAUAUAUAGAGAGAGAGAGAGAGAGAGAGAGAGAGAGAGAGAGAGAGAGAGCGAGCUAGGUUGGUAUACUAUCGGUAGCACGGAAGCUUCCGUGCUACCAAGUUAUUUUUAAUGAUGCGGCUUCCAAAUCGACGAUCAGCUCUGUUAGGCUUGAUCUACACUAUUAAAAGUAUUUUUCAGCAUCAUUUAUCUAUCAAACGAGUAGUCUAAAAAUGAACGAUUGAAAAUAAAAAUCUCAUAAAAAAUGAUGAUAAAAGACUUGAAUUUAAUAUCAGAGGUGUUCAUCUUACUCUAAAUAGUGAAAAAAAUUUUCUAUAAAAAUUUCAUCAGAUUUGAAUUAUUUUACACCGUUAAAUUCACAAACGCAUCACAUCUACCAUN